rnacentral:lncRNA from 1 species
CCCACAUUUACACAUUCAAGAAUUGGUUUAUUUCUAUGUGAUUUUCUUAUUUUAUUAAAAAUAAAAAAAAAAAUAAAAGAAGAACAUCUUACGAUUAUCAGUAAAGCACCUACAAGCUUGUCAUUCCUCUUAAAUCAAGGCAUCUUCAUGACAUAGUUGUAAGCAUAACAAAUACCAACAGAACAAUCAGCUACUGGUUGUUCAGCCAUUUCUUUUCCAAGGAAGGACUUCAGCAAGAUGCGGUGACAUAGCCUACAAUAACAAGUUGCAUGUGUUCUUCCUUGAAGAGUUGAUUCCCUACGUUUUUUUGCUAUCUCUGAGAAGCAAAUCUGUCUGAAAGCCUUCCCAAUUCUCAGGCUUGAGUGUACACAUGAGAUGGCAGCCUCUAUAAAACUCAGAGUAACAUGCAAUGAGCCAUCAACAACAACAUGAACAACUGUUCAUAGAAGACCAUGACCUCUCCCUAGCAUGCUUCAAGCAUCAUUUCCAAAAUAACAGCCUUAAGAAUUCAACAGCUACAAAGUUUAAGUCUCUUUGACCCUGUUCUGGAUCCAAAGGCAGAAAUAAAUACAACAAAUACCUGCUACUGUUUUUUUAAGCUGCAUCAGACACCCUUCUAAAUCAAACCAAGCUAAGCCAGUGACCCUCCAGCACUUUGGGACUGCGCUGCUUCUACCACAAUUGAAGACCUCCAGACAGGACAGUGAGCAAUAUUUCCUCAACGCACAUUCUUCAAAAAACACAGAGAACAUCCCAGCUUUGAGACUCUAGCCAUAUCACUGCUGUCAGUCUCUUAUGGCUCAUGCAUAGUUGGCAGUUCUUGUUCAGCAUGGAGUGGAUUUAAAGUUAUUUCCCCAAUGAAUUGCCUGAUUUGCCAUCCUAUGCCUUGUCUGUCCAAUUGACCCACACAUUAAUGCAGCAGAAAAUGGAUUUAACCAAACGCAAAAAAGGAAAGUUGCAUUAUCCUGAUAGCCAUUACAGGGUCUACAUACAUAAAAAGCGUUUGCAACUACUGUUGAUGCCAGAGUCACACUUUUCAGCUUUAAUAUUUUCAUCCAGAAAGCCCUUUGGAGUUCUCCUUUUCUUCUCCUGCCAGACAUCUCUUCUUUAUAGAAGUGGCAACCCAGUGAUAGCUUUGCCAUCUGUUGCUGUCUUUCAAUACCAUAAUUCUGGCUAAAGUUGAUGUAAAUUUGUGCUGAUGGGGAAUAUCCUGAAACUUAAAUUGGUGAGAUCAUACUUCACAGUGACUCUGUGAAGACCAAGAGAUGAAUGUAAAGGAACCUUAUCCCAACACUAGCCUUUCUUGUCCCAGGUCUUUGCAGAAAAAGUCAACUAAAAUGACUAUGCUUUGUACUUACCACAGAAGUAUGUAUUUCAGUAGGAUGCAUGAGAUCCAAAUUAACCAAGCAGAAUAAGGAGAUAGGAAACACAAACAUCAACAAACCAGCCAUCAGGAAUAUAACUCAGUAUGUUACAGUAUCUUGUGAGUAUCUAUUAAGAUGCCAAGCAGAAGAAAAAUACAGUUUGGAUUUCUCUGAGCCCCCAUGAUUCCUUCCCUUUGUGGAUUUCUGUAUGGCCAGGUUUGCCACCUUCAACAAGAAACGGUCUGUUUCUGCAAGCCAUUUAUCAAGAACUCAUGCAUCCAGUUAGGAUGAACUGAUACUGAUGCUCUCUCUACUCAUGCCACCAUUUCAG